UACGUAGGGCGCAAGCGUUGUCCGGAAUUAUUGGGCGUAAAGAGCUCGUAGGUGGCUUGUCACGUCGGGUGUGAAGCUUGGGGCUUAACUCCAGGUCUGCAUUCGAUACGGGCUGGCUAGAGGUAGGUAGGGGAGAACGGAAUUCCUGGUGUAGCGGUGAAAUGCGCAGAUAUCAGGAGGAACACCAGUGGCGAAGGCGGCUACCUGGCCCAUUCUUGACGCUGAGGCGCGAAAGCUAGGGGAGCAAACAGG
rnacentral:rRNA from 1 species